CGGCUGCCGAUGCUGGAGUCGCCGCGCCGGGCUCGGCCCCACGGAGCCCCCGGUGGCGCUGUGACCCCCGCGGCUCUCGGAGCCGCGGCUGCCGGGGGAGAUGCUGGGUCGGGGCGGUCUGUGGGGAGCUCCUGUGGUUGUAGCGUCCACUGCGGGCUGGGAGAGGACGCGGAGUGAGAGGCGCUCGGUGCCCGUGCGGAGCGGUGUGCGCCCGGUGGGAGUGCCGCGUAGCGCUCAGAUGCCAUCAAUGGCUCCAAAAUCAAGUGACUUUUCCCUCUGGGAGUGGCAGCAUUUCUACGAGCAAUGCCUACUUUGUCUGUAGGUUUUCUGACAAAGCGGAUCGGAUGGAAACUUCCCCAUCUAUCAAACGACCGGAUAAAAAGGGCACGGGAGAGUCCUGAAAGAUUUCUUGCAAGAUUUAUUUUGCUAAACGAGGAUGCAUGUAUGGGAUCCAAGAGCAACGGUGAGGAGUGGAGGUCAAAGGACCUCUGCUUUGUCUUAGGAAGUUAUCUCUAACCAGGAAUCAUGUUAUUUCCCCCUGCUUUAGGUGGGAUGGGAGAUGGCACGGAGCGAAGACCCCCAGAUCUCCUUAACCAUGGCUUUAAUAUACUCCUCAAAUUUGGAACAAUGAGGGAAUGAAUUUCUCAGAUGUGCAUGGUAAUCAGUGCUGAAGAAAAUUUCUGCCCAGGACUUCAUCUGGAGUUUCUGACAUCUCCUGCCUAUGUGUAGGGGUGAGAGGAGCUGGAAAAGCUGCUGUGCCAUAGCCAUAAACUUCAGUGUUCCACUGUUGUGAUGAUAAGACAAAGGAAACCUGUUAGAUGUGGCGUAGUAUUCCUUUAGACACGUGCAUAGCUGAACAGAAGAUGUUGCUAUCCAACUCUGUGUCACAGGCUCUGCAUCCUGCCCGCCCUCCCCUAACACUGCAGAUACAGGUAGAGCAAACCCCAAGGGCAGGCAGCGCCUGCAUCCACCACUGUCACAUGGAUACCCCUCCCACCAUUGCCUGGCAAUAAAAAUGCAGUUCUGAAAAAGAAAAGCGGUGUUAUGCAAAUAUGAAGCAUGGGAGGAAGGAUUUAAUGUGAGACAAUGGUCCCUUAAUGAAAGGCACAAACAUCAGUCACUCACGGCUGAAUGAGUUGAUCUGGAGCUGGGUGGAGUGACAGCCCAGAAAGCUUCACAUUAACUCAAUUAAAUCCCAUUAUUCUUUAGAUUUUUUAAAAAUAAUGAAAUUAAUUUCACGUGACUGUGAAAGGAGCUGGAAUGACUGCCAAAAACUGUUCUCGUGGCGGGCUACAGAGGUGGGAUUAGCUAGUAAUUGUGGCACCAGGCUGGUGCUUGGGAGAGGUGGGCUUUGCUUUGCUGCGUGCUCCGUGGGGGCCUGGUGUGCAUCCCGUGGGCUCUGAUGUCUCAGCUGCCCGGCUCUGGAUGGCGAUAGGACUCUUUGUACACACAGAGCAGUGCUGGAGACAGCGCUCAGCUUGCGGGAUGGGGAGGUGUCACUGCAGCUGGAGCAUCUCUUCCAGGAUCCCAACAAUGCUCCUUUGGCCUGGGCUGGGAUCUCCUGCAUGUUCCUGUAGGAAUGCCAUGGAGAGCGUGUUGAGUUGCUUCCUUUCAGUAGGUGUAGGGAGCUGGACUCCAAUGAUCCUUGUGGGUCUUUUCCAGCUUGGGUUAUUCUAUAAUUCUGUGAUUCUCUUGCCAUGGAAAAGAACCUGCCUUUCUCGUGAGGUCAUCACAAUUUCAGUACUUGAGCAUUGAGAUAUAGCUGUUUGUAUUGAGCCAUGCUGCUUUGGACAGGAAAAAUUCAGUGGGGAAUUGUUGGCUGGCUGCUAUCUGCACACGAAUCUCUCUUUAACGUAUUGCCUUUCUCCUUUCCCAACCCUUUAUUUGCAUUCAGGUUGCUGGUUCUUUCCAAGGAAAUCAUUGAGUAUGCCACCAGGUACAUCCUCACAGAGCUAGAAGAAGCCACUGGAGCAGCUGCUGGCUCCGCCAUCCCCCUCUCUUCUGACUGCAGGACUGCUCCAAUGCUAAUGCUUUGCACGUGGGAUUCAUCUGCCUUGAGCUCUUGAUGUUGAGAGUUAAUCAUUGGACUGCAAACUUGUCACCUACGGCUCUCCAUAUAGUUAAUGGAGAGAAAUAGACACCUCCAGAAGGCAGCGUGUCUCAUCUAUCUUGGAUAUCUGUGGGAAGAUGAAAUGAGCUGCUUCUUGGAGCUACCCAUUUCUCUCACUGGUCUGAAGGGAGCCGAGGGUGCUGGAUCAGAUGGAGGUGAUUAACAUUUAGAUAUGUAUGGCAAAGUGAAAUGAAUCUCACCUCUUUUGAGUAAUUCUCAUUGCCUUGACCUGGUGGUGACUGAAAACCUCUUGAGACCAUUCUGCAUAGCACAUCAAAUCCUAGCUUGGGGCAAACCUGAGCAGCUUUGCAGUUUUCCAGCAAAUGAAAGCACUGCUGAUCAGUCAGGUCAAUCCCCAUGCAGCAGGAUGAUGCUAGUCUGGGAGGAGGCAAAGAAAUGUUGUAAAGCAGAGGUGCCCUUUCUCUGUGGGGUGCUUCCACCUACCUCUACGCUGUGGCUCGGUGCUCAGAAACAAGUGAAUCCAGAUUCACUUUUUCCUGCCCUGAAGAGCCCUGCGAGUAUAUAAAGUGGGGCUACAAGAAAAAAGAAGACACACUUUUUAGCGGGAUCUGUGGUGACAGGACAAGGGGAAAUGGUUCCCCAUUAAAAGAGGGGAAGUUUAGAUUAGAUUAGAUAUAAGGAAGAAGUUUUUUACAGUAAGAGUGGUGAAACACUGGAACAGUUUGCCCAGAGAGGUGGUGGAUGCCUCAUCUCUAGGGACAAUUAAGGUCAGGCUGGACAGGGCUCUAGGCAACCUGAUCAAGCUGUGGAUGGCCCUGUUCUUGGCAGGGGAGUUGGACCAGAUGACCUUUGGUUGUCCUUUCCAACUCAAACAAUUCUGUGGUUCCGCGAAACAGUCUGUUUGUCAGCAUGAAUGGGAUUCCAAUGCUCAUUUUAAAGGCUUUCGCAGCUCUCUGAAGCACCUUGUGCUGACUGCAUGUGAGAGAUGCUGUGGGAGGUGGUCCUCUCAAAGCUGCCUCUUCCCCAAGCUCAGGAUGCAGUCUGUUCUCCUAAGGAGACAAUCCCCUUUUUUUUUUUUUGUCUUCUAUGUAUAAGUGAUUUACUGUGCUGUCAGUGCCCAGUAAUCUAUUGCUCUGCAACUCCUCGUCACAAGCAAAUUAACGAACCAGCAUCCUCAUUUAAUUUGGAUUAAACUUUGCAGUUAAGAGCUGACAGAAGGCACCAAAAAUACCGGCGUAAUUGCUGUGUAUUUCUAUGUCUGAGCUCCUCAGCAUUACUGUCAGGCUGAUGUUUGCCGUGAGUGGUCCCUGGUUGCGAACAGAGCCCUGAAGUAUAAACAGAUGGGAUUUCUGCAAGAAAACUUGUGAAAUUUCAGGUAACCAACAUGGCUUCAGCAGGGGCAAGUCAUGUCUGACAAACUUGGUGGCCUUUCAUGAUGGAGUUACAGCAUAAGUGGAUAAAGCAAGAGCAACUGAUGUCAUCUACCUGGACUUGUGCAAUUUGAUGCUGUCCCACACGACAUCCUGGUUGCCAAAUCGGAAAAAAUGGACUUGAUGAAUGGACCACUGGCUGGACAAGGAAUUGGCUGGAUGGCCCCACUCAGAGAGUUGCAAUCAAAGGCUCAGUGUCCAUGUGGAGACCGGCAGUGAGUGGUGUUCCUCAGGGAUCAGUACUGGGACCAGUGUUAUUUAAUACCUUCGUAGGCAACACGGACAGUGAGUGCCCCCUCAUCAAGUUUGCAGGUGACACCAAGCUGAGUGGUGCAGUUGACACACGAGAGGGAAGGGAUGCCAUCCAGAGGAGGGCCACGAAGGUGAUCAGAGGGCUGGAGCACCUCCCUAACAAAGACAGGCUGGGACAGUUGGGGCUCUUCAGCCUAGA
ensembl:lncRNA